CUAGGCGAACCAGUCAAAACGUAACAAAGAGCAGACCACAAGUUUAAUGUAUAUACACAUGAACAUAGCCAGUUCAAACUAGAUUUGUUCAGUUACAUUUUUCACUGGAAUUUUCGGAAGAAUAUUAUAGAGAUGACAGAACAGAUGUCAUGAUGAAAGUUCAGUGGAGAAAAAUGCCAACGUAAAGGUGGAGAACUUUGAUAACCAGAAGUAUUUGGUGUUGUGUAAACAGAUAGUAAGUUCCAAUACUUGUACCGGUAAUACAAAUUCAGACAUUUUCGACAUAAGUGCCAAGAUGUCACCUUACUCAGGUGGCAUGAACUCUUACAAAGAAGAGGAUGCAAAAUUGAUUUCAGGGGACUCCUCCAGCAAUAAAUCUGACAACUCUCUCACAAGAAAUGUCUCCUUCAACAAGUUCAAGCCAACGGACGUCACCAUCUUCAUUGAUAAAGAGAACGAAGUUCUUCCUACUCUACACAGCAAUGUUACUCUCGUAUCAGAGGAACCAAACAAGAGGGCACGGCUUCUGUUUAUUUUAACCCUCCUGUUUAUUAUACUGUUGGUAUGUAUCGUAAUAAUAUCCGCCAUCAGACAGUUCUCCUCAAAAGAGGACGAACACAUUGACCAUGAGCGAGUAGAAGACGUGUUAAGCAUCUCUUCGAAAAACCUGACUGUGUUCAUUUCUUCGACCACUGAGGUUAUACCGAUUACGCAGGGCAGUACUAUGAAUGUAAGGUAGAAUGACCAGCUGUAGGAAAAUCAUGUAGGCCAUAAGAACAUGUGUCAGGACAUAAUAUAUAAAAUGUGAUACUUCACUUAAUCACUCUAAGGGUACCAAAUAUUUCAACUCAAAUUCUUUUUCUCAUGUGUAUAUUUAUAGUUCGGUAUUUAGUUUUCCGUGAAGAAAACCCAUGCUUGCCAGUUUCAAAGCACAAAGUUGUGUAUUUGAAUUUUCUGUACAGCUAUAACUUAUAUAUUUUGAUUCUGUAUAUAAAACACACCAUUGUCAAUAUUGAUAAUGAAGUUGCUUUUCAUCUUGUGUUGAUGGAGAUAUUUUCAUACAAUCAUUCAUUGCCAUGCGAUAACAAGUGUACUGUAUGAUACAGAGACCGUGUAUUGAAUGUAUUGGGUACAUGGAUACAUGAUGUGUUACUACAGGGUAGUUUCAAUCUGCUUCUUUGAACACCCAGUAGGAUGCAUCCUGAACUCUGGCCCCAAAACCAUAAACUUAGAUUUGGACAUACUCAUUAAAUUGAAAUAAAUAUUAAAAUUUGAUUUAGGACUUUCAUGAGUCAUAGAUUUUAUUCUAUUUAGAGAAAAAAGCAAACAAUCAUGCAGAAUUUUCAUUUAUUUGAUUCUUUUAACAUUGCGGUAUAUGUAUUUCAAAAGUUAUAUCAAUUUAAGAUUCUGAGGCAAGUCAUUUCUGUGAUUAAGGUUUUGGUGCCUGGUGUUAACUUAUGAAUGUGUACUGAAAGGUCAACAAAGUUUCCCUUCUAUGUGAAGGCAUACAUAACAAAUGCAUAUUGCAAGAUAUAUAUUAUUUUUCUGUUGUAACAGAGUGAUAAGAUAUGGGAUUAUAUGCUAAUCCUCUUUUUCAAUCAAAACUGUGAUUGACUCAAUACUGCAAUUGAUUAUACUUGUUGCCAUGUAUGAAAAAGCAUAAUAUACAUUGUGUAUACUGUAAACACAAAUAUUUUUGGGUUUCACCCCCAGCAUAGAGUGCUUAAAAGCUUUUAAGUAUUUUUUUUUUUGUUGCAUAUGAAUUUCUAAAGUAUUUUUAUUUUACUUUUGAAAAUCCAUAAAGAUCUGAAUGAGAAGUUUUGUUGACGAAUGUCACCUGAUAGUGCUAUUUUAUAUAUACUAUAUCUCAUGUUGUUUUUUCUGUUGUUCGUUUUGUUUUUGCUUACUUCUGGUUUUAUGGGAUUUUUGUGUUGUUGCGUUAGCUUUUAGUCACUUUAUUAUCCAGCUUUUAAAAGAUAUACAACAAUCAGGGCACAGUGUGUCCAUGUUCUGUCAAUGAAAAUAAAACGGACUUUAACAGGGUUAAUUUUAAUGUAAUAGAUCUUAACCAAAAACAAGUUUUGAAGCACACAUUGUUAAGAAUUAUGUUAAAGAUAUAUUUCUUGUUUAAGAUUUUCAGGUUUUCAGGUUUUACUCCUACUAGAAAUCUGAUUGCUCAUUCACAGAAAAAUAUAAAAUUGCAAUGCAGAACGAGAACAUUGUCACUUUGAGUAAAGUGCUUUUGAUUUAGUGGUAGGGUAUAUGCUGGGGUAUUUCUGGUCCCAAUAUUUACUUAAGGAUAAGUAUAGAGUCCUUUAAUCAUGCAUGCAUUGAAUUCCUUCUUGUAUAGUUUAGAACAUUUAUUUAAUUAUUGAUUUUUCCAGUACCAAAAUCCAAUGUGAUCUUUUUUUGAAUGGAGCUAUUUAUUUAUUACAAAAUUACUCUUUUUAUGCAAUAUAUAAAACUUUACAUAUUCAUGUUAUACAGUAUAUUAUGUGUUAUUGAACAAAGAUUCAGGGGUGCAUUUUAAAAGACUCGAUACAAUUAAAAUAAUUUAUAGCCUGAGAAAGGACUCUGUAUGUUGAUUUUAUUGGUACAUGUAUUGAAUUGAAAUAAGUGAUGGGUACUGUAGUAUUUUAUUUAAAUGAACACAAGUUCUUUAUUUGAAAUGAUGUCCAGUUAAUGAUCAAUAAUUUGUUAGAUCUUGUCAUACACACAGUACUGUCUCUGUCUACACACAUUUCUUUGGUCUGGUGGUUUUCAGAACAUAUGCCACUCAUGAUUUUGUUGAAAUAAAUUACUGCCUUGAAGCCAAAA